rnacentral:rRNA from 1 species
AGCGAACGCUGGCGGCAGGCUUAACACAUGCAAGUCGAGCGGGCAUCCUUGUGGUGUCAGCGGCAGACGGGUGAGUAACGCGUGGGAACGUGCCCUUCGGUUCGGAAUAACUCAGGGAAACUUGAGCUAAUACCGGAUACGCCCUUUUGGGGAAAGGUUUACUGCCGAAGGAUCGGCCCGCGUCUGAUUAGCUAGUUGGUGAGGUUAUGGCUCACCAAGGCGACGAUCAGUAGCUGGUCUGAGAGGAUGAUCAGCCACACUGGGACUGAGACACGGCCCAGACUCCUCUGGGGGGGAGAAGUGGGGAAUAUUGGACAAUGGGGGCAACCCUGAUCCAGCCAUGCCGCGUGAGUGAUGACGGCCUUAGGGUUGUAAAGCUCUUUUCUCCGGGACGAUAAUGACGGUACCGGAGGAAUAAGCCCCGGCUAACUUCGUG